CCAAAUUCAAUUUCAGUCCCCAAAUUCUAAAUGUCUCGUCACUCUUUUCCAUUCCAUCUGAAGCGAUUGCCUUGAGAUUCACCAAAUUUCUCUCAAGCAUCAGCAAGCCUCCUUCCAUGGCUACAUACGACGGUUUUAGUCUGAAGCACCAACAAUUUCUCAUUCUUUCAGUUUGCUCGCUCUUCUACUUCCAACGGCUCGAGAGGAGGAUUUAAAGUUCUCUAUUUCAUGAUCAGUAGUCAAAGUGAGCACGCAGGAGAUAAUAGAGCGCUAUAAGAGGCAUACUUAAGACAGAGUUCAACCUGAAAACCAAGUUGGGGAACAACAUCUGCAGGUAGAUUCGAGUUUCGUGUCUCCUCUGUAUAGGAUGAAUUAGAAAGCAACUAGUAGUUUCUUGAAAGUUAAUAAAGUUUUACUGUAGCUUACACAACAAUGCAGCAAAUUUAAUGAAGAAGAUAGAGCUCCUUGAAACAUCGAAAAGGUUCAAUUAAACCUUACUCCAGAAGUUGUUGCAUUGUCAUUUCUCUCCCUUUUUAGUAAGUUUUAAAGAUGCUUCUUAAACAAAUGAAA